GCGGAGGCGGCGGCGCUGGGACCCCCCUCCCCACUUCCCUCGGGGUUCCUGUGUGUCCGGGGGGUGAGCGAGCUCCCCUGAUUCCUGGUGCGGGCUCGGGCCUGGGGCGCGGCCGCACCCCUCACCCACAGCGGCGCGGGGGCCCAGCCGUGGGGAACGCCCUCCCGGGAUGAAGCGCUUCCCGUGCCUAUCAACAGAAUGGAUGCGCGGCACCCUUACCACGAUACACUUUUUUUCUUCAUUAUUAUCUGAAUGUGACUAGAACUUGCUCACCUGCGAGACACUGUACUAAGCACCUCCCAGGAUUUUCCAGUUUGGUCCUCCUGGCAAAUCUAUUUUUUAUUUUACUGAACAGGAAAACAUAUAAUGCAAACAGCCAUAUAAUAAAUGACGACGUCUCAAUGCCAGGAUGUCCUGGGCCAUUACAAGUUGCCAAGCCCUGGGCUGACACCUGGACCACCAGCCCGUUCAUUCAACGCUGACAACUACUCCGGGAUGGGACCCUUAUUUUACAGACCAAGAGACACAAGCACCGAGGAGCAAAUGUACCCUUAUAGCUCUGGCUGGACAGUUGUGAUGGUUUACAUCUGUAGCGUCCGUCCUUUGGGGGCAGAGACAGGAGGAUUAUUAAUUUGAAGCCAGACUGGGUUACCUAGUGAGACCUCAUGUCAAACAACAACACACAAAUGUCAGAUUGACCGCAAGUGGGUGAGCUGAGGAUGUCAGACAUAUUCAUGAUGUCAUUAUUUCUAUCAUAAACCACUAUACCAUGUUACCCACCUCUUUAAAGAACACACAAUAAACCUAUUAAUUAUA
rnacentral:lncRNA from 1 species